AAGGUCCUAUCUUAAUGAAAGAGUCUGAGUUGCAUUUAGAAUAUGUGAGUUUGAACCUCACGGAUCUUA
rnacentral:tRNA from 1 species